rnacentral:tmRNA from 1 species
GGGGCCGUACCGGAAUCGACAGGAAUGUCUACUGGUAAGUAAGCAUGUCGGAGCAUAGUAGCUUACCUCCGUUAACAACUGGCUAUUAACAACUUUUACAUGGCAACAGACAGUUCGCCAUGGCUGCCUAAGACUAGGUCUUAGAAAGCCUUUGCGCCCCACGCUUGACGCCUGAUACACAGUGUGCCGCGCAUCAACCAACCCUCGGGCUAGUGUACUGACCCGUCCCGAUCAGUACGCGAAAUUAAGGGAAUAAGGCGAUAGUACGGGAGGGUUUCCAAUCCCAUCGAUCGCUCGAAAAUCCAACUGGGAACUACACAUGUAGAAAGCUUAUGAGUGCUUUCUCUGGACGCGGGUUCGACUCCCGCCGGCUCCACAA